rnacentral:tRNA from 1 species
CAAAAAAUAGUUUAAUUUAAAAAUGGUAAUUUUGGGAAUUAUCGAUAUUUAUUAAUAAAUUUUUUUGA